rnacentral:rRNA from 1 species
UACGUAGGGUGCAAGCGUUGUCCGGAAUUAUUGGGCGUAAAGAGCUCGUAGGCGGUUUGUCGCGUCUGCUGUGAAAACUCUGGGCUCAACCCAGAGCCUGCAUCCGAAACUGGCGGGCUAGAGUUCUGGAGGGGGUAGCGGAAUUCCUGGUGUAGCGGUGAAAUGCGUAGAUAUCAGGAGGAACACCGGUGGCGAAGGCGGCUACCUGGACAGAAACUGACGCUGAGGCGCGAAAGCUAGGGGAGCAAACAGG